GGCUACACACGUGCUACAAUGGCGAUGACAGAGGGACGCAAGCCGGCGACGGUGAGCCAAUCUCUAAAAGUCGUCUCAGUUCGGAUUGUUCUCUGCAACUCGAGAGCAUGAAGUCGGAAUCGCUAGUAAUCGCGUAUCAGCAAUGACGCGGUGAAUACGUUCCCGGACCUUGUACACACCGCCCGUCAAGCCAUGGGAAUUGGGAGGACCUGAAGACGGUUGCCGCAAGGCGCUGUUUAGGGUUAAACCAGUGAC
rnacentral:rRNA from 1 species